AUCCAAUAUCUAUAGAUACUUGUAAAUCAGAGUAAUCUCGACAUUCUCUUGUAUUGAGCAAGAUUCUCUAAUCCAAGUUCAGCUUCAGUAUCAAGUCAAUGGGGGCUGUUGGAUUAGUCUCUCAACUACUGUUGACAUACUCAAACUCCGAUAAGGAUGAAACCAACGAACAAAGCCUGUGUUUGUACACAUCCGCUUGUGAAGAAGAUCCAGAGCUCAAAUCACUUGGUUCUUCGCUUGAGCAACAAUUUAGCGAAUUGAAGACCUUGCUCGCUCCAGGAGGCAAGACUGAUCAAAAUUAUUCCAUAAACGCAGUCAAAAAGAUGAGCGGGUUUCUAACUGAAAUUGUAACGACCCGACUUUGAUUUUCAGAAUCUGUUAGCAUGCUAACGUCCGUGCAUUUACAUAAGACCCAAAGUUUGUCUAUAAAUAGCCACCUCCUAAUCCUGGCAACAUUGUUUUCUCCACCUGCAAACAAAGAAAAAGAAAAUGAGAAGUUGAGAGAGAGAGAGAGUUCAAGAAAAAGAGUGUGAGAAAUCUUUGAAGUGAAGCUAUUAGAGAGUUUUAAUCAUCAAUGGAGCACGCCAUCGACCACUGCACGCCAAGACCAAGUCGAGCUCGUCCCCACCGUUCACAACAGCAAGAAACCGCCGGAGGCCACCAUGCUUCUAAGCUUUGUUUCGGCCGUUUUGGCAAAUCGACCAUAUCUUCCUAACCGUCGCGAAUUUCGUGCAUGCAAGACCACCAUCGUGUUCCUCUCGUCGAGACGAAUCCAUAGCCACCAGAAUCGCCGCAAUCGGAGCUCGGACGAAGCCGUACGCACCCUCCGAAGUUUCGCCGGAAAUCGCCAACCCCACCACCGGACCACUGCUGCUCCGCCGUAGUUCGCCGCCGCCGGAACACCGCUUCUCCGCUGCCGGACCGCCGUUACCGCCGGUAAGCCUCCGCCGUCACCGCUGGUGACCGUCGCCGGAGACUCGCUGGUGACUCGGUCAACUCGGCCGAGUCGACUCAGCGGGUCAACUCGGUUGACUCGGUAAACCGGUCGGUUGACUGGUUUGACCCGAUUUAAAUUAAUUUCAAUUCGGUUAGAGUCGGUUAGGUUAAACCGGUCGGUUAUGUCAAAUUGAUUUCUGGUCAAGGUUUGACCGGGUUGACCUUUGACCAGCGGGUUGACUUUUCCGUAGACUUUGACCAGACCCGUUUUCACCCGUUCGAAGGGCGUUCUGACCCGAAAUUUCGCCCUGAUUUCAGAUUUGGAGUCUAUUUGAGCAUCUGAAGUUCAUAGAUACCACUUCUCUACAUUUUCUAAGGUGAGACAAGCAUCAAUGUGAUACGGGACGGACUCGGUGCUACUGGACUUUUCCUUCGGAUUUUAUUUUGGGCUUGGGCUGAGAGUAUAGUUAGGUAUAUGGCCUUUUGUAUUAUGUGUUAUGGUUGG